UUACAGCCAUAUCGCGUAGAAACACCGAUUCUCGUACGAUCACUGAUGUUAAGCAAUGUCGAGCCUGAUCAAUACCUAGAUGGCUGACCGCUUGAAAAUACCAGGUUCUGUAAG